ACCCUCUGAAUUACCUUUCCACCUUAUCUGAACACUGGUCUUGGUGAUCACCAAAGGUGAAUAGUAAUACUGAGGCUGGCCUCACAGAAGAAAAAAUACAGUAUAUAACAGAA
rnacentral:snoRNA from 1 species